UACAGAGGGUGCAAGCGUUGUUCGGAAUUAUUGGGCGUAAAGGGCGCGUAGGCGGUGCGGUAAGUCUGUAGUGAAAUCUCUGGGCUCAACUCAGAGUCUGCUAUAGAAACUGCCGUGCUAGAGUGUGGGAGAGGUGAGUGGAAUUCCCGGUGUAGCGGUGAAAUGCGUAGAUAUCAGGAGGAACACCUGUGGCGAAAGCGGCUCACUGGACCAUAACUGACGCUGAUGCACGAAAGCUAGGGGAGCAAACAGG
rnacentral:rRNA from 1 species